UACGUAGGUGGCAAGCGUUACUCGGAAUCACUAGGCGUAAAGCGCAGGUAGGCGGUUUGAUAAGUCUGUUGUGAAAGCUCCCGGCUUAACUGGGAGAGGUCAACGGAAACUGUCAAGGUAGAGUGUGGUAGAGGUAGCUGGAAUUCCCGGUGUAGCGGUGAAAUGCGUAGAUAUCGGGAGGAAUACCUAUGGCGAAAGCAGGCUACUGGACCAUCACUGACGCUGAUCUGCGAAAGCUAGGGGAGCAAACAGG
rnacentral:rRNA from 1 species